GAUGAACGCUGGCGGCGUGCCUAAUACAUGCAAGUCGAGCGAACAGACGAGGAGCUUGCUCCUCUGACGUUAGCGGCGGACGGGUGAGUAACACGUGGAUAACCUACCUAUAAGACUGGGAUAACUUCGGGAAACCGGAGCUAAUACCGGAUAAUAUAUUGAACCGCAUUGUUCAUUAGUGAAAGACGGUUUUGCUGUCUCUUAUAGAUGGAUCCGCGCCGCGUUGGCUAGUUGGUGAGGUAACGGCUUACCAAGGCGACGAUGCGUAGCCGACCUGAGGGGGGGUACGGCCACACAGGAGCUGAGACGCGGUCCAGGCUCCUAGGGGAGGCAGAAGCAGGGAAGCUUGCGAGAUGGGGGAAAGCCUGACGGAGCAACGCCGGGUGAGUGAAGAAGGGCUUCGGAUCGGAAAACUCUGUUAUUGGGGAAGAACAAAUGUGUAAGUAACUAUGCGCGUCUUGACGGUACCGAAUCAGAAAGCCACGGCAAACUACGG
rnacentral:rRNA from 1 species